GACAGAGGGUGCAAACGUUGCUCGGAAUCACUGGGCGUAAGGCGUGUAGGCGGGUAGGCAAGUCGGGCGUGAAAUCCCUGAGCUCAACUCAGGAACUGCACUCGAAACUGCUUAUCUUGAGUGCCGGAGAGGAAAGCGGAAUACCUGGUGUAGAGGUGAAAUUCGUAGAUAUCAGGUGGAACACCAGUGGCGAAGGCGGCUUUCUGGACGGUAACUGACGCUGAGACGCGAAAGCGUGGGGAGCAAACAGG
rnacentral:rRNA from 1 species